rnacentral:rRNA from 1 species
GGAUAGGACAUGCAAGUCGAGCGGGACACUAUUUGUAGCAAUACAGGUAGUGUUCAGCGGCGCAAGGGUGCGUAACACGUGGGCAACCUGCCCGGAAAUGGGGGAUAGCUCGCCGAAAGGCGAAUUAAUACCGCUGGUGGCUAAGGGUGACAUCACCUUUAGCUAAAGUCGGGGCAACCUGACGUUUCUGGAUGGGCCCGCGGCCUAUCAGCUAGUUGGAGAGGUAACGGCUCCCCAAGGCUAUGACGGGUAGCUGGUCUGAGAGGACGACCAGCCACACUGGAACUGAGACACGGUCCAGACACCUACGGGUGGCAGCAGUCGAGAAUUUUUCUCAAUGGGGGCAACCCUGAAGGAGCGACGCCGCGUGAAGGAUGAAGGUCUUCGGAUUGUAACCUUCUGUCAUUGGUGAACAAGGCCCACGCAGUAACUGGUGUUGGGAUUGAUAGUAGCCGAAGAGGAAGAGACGGCUAACUCUGUGCCAGCAGCCGCGGUAAUACAGAGGUCUCAAGCGUUGUUCGGAUUCAUUGGGCGUAAAGGGUGCGUAGGUGGCGAGGUAAGUCAGAUGUGAAAUCCCGGGGCUCAACCCCGGAACUGCAUCCGAUACUGCCGUGCUUGAGGGUUGGAGAGGUAGCUGGAAUUAUCGGUGUAGCAGUGAAAUGCGUGGAUAUCGAUAGGAACACUCGUGGCGAAGGCGAGCUACUGGACAACAUCUGACGCUGAGGCUCGAAGGCUAGGGGAACAAAAGGGAUUAGAUACCCCUGUAGUCCUAGCAGUAAACGGUGUGCGCUUGGUGUGAGGGGAAUCCAACCCCCCGUGUGCCGGAGCUAACGCGUUAAGCGCACCGCCUGGGAAGUACGGCCGCAAGGCUAAAACUCAAAGAAAUUGACGGGGACCCGCACAAGCGGUGGAGUAUGUGGCUUAAUUCGAUGCAACGCGAAGAACCUUACCAAGGCUUGACAUGGAUUUCUAAGCACGUGAAAGCGUGUGACUUCGGGGGACUUCCACAGGUGCUGCAUGGCCGUCGUCAGCUCGUGUCGUGAGAUGUUGGGUUAAGUCCCGCAACGAGCGCAACCCCUGUGAUUAGUUGCCAGCACGUAAUGGUGGGGACUCUAGUCAGACUGCCCAGAUCAACUGGGAGGAAGGUGGGGACGACGUCAGGUCAGUAUGGCCCUUACGCCUUGGGCUGCACACGUACUACAAUGCCCAGCACAAUGGGAACCGAGACCGCGAGGUGGAGGAAAUCUGUAAAACUGGGCCCAGUUCGGACUGGAGGCUGCAACUCGCCUCCAUGAAGCCGGAAUCGCUAGUAAUGCUGCAUCAGCGACGGCAGCGUGAAUACGUUCCCGGGUCUUGUACACACCGCCCGUCAC